rnacentral:rRNA from 1 species
GGGUUGUGAGGUUAAGCGACUAAGCGUACACGGUGGAUGCCCUGGCAGUCAGAGGCGAUGAAGGACGUGCUAAUCUGCGAUAAGCGCCGGUAAGGUGAUAUGAACCGUUAUAACCGGCGAUUUCCGAAUGGGGAAACCCAGUGUGACUCGUCACACUAUCAUUAACUGAAUCCAUAGGUUAAUGAAGCGAACCGGGGGAACUGAAACAUCUAAGUACCCCGAGGAAAAGAAAUCAACCGAGAUUCCCCCAGUAGCGGCGAGCGAACGGGGAGGAGCCCAGAGCCUGAAUCAGCAUGUGUGUUAGUGGAAGCGUCUGGAAAGGCGCGCGAUACAGGGUGACAGCCCCGUACACAAAAGCGCAUGUGCUGUGAGCUCGAAGAGUAGGGCGGGACACGUGGUAUCCUGUCUGAAUAUGGGGGGACCAUCCUCCAAGGCUAAAUACUCCUGACUGACCGAUAGUGAACCAGUACCGUGAGGGAAAGGCGAAAAGAACCCCGGCGAGGGGAGUGAAAAAGAACCUGAAACCGUGUACGUACAAGCAGUGGGAGCCCCACCACUAAGCCAGUGGUGAACUCCACAUACGCAUCCUUUGCUGAGGAUACGGUUAACGGAGCGCAAGCGACGUUCAACCGCAAAAGAAGCAGAGGGGGCUUAGUGGUGGGGUGACUGCGUACCUUUUGUAUAAUGGGUCAGCGACUUAUAUUCUGUAGCAAGGUUAACCGUAUAGGGGAGCCG